rnacentral:rRNA from 1 species
CUGGAGGUAUCAGAAGUGCGAAUGCUGACAUAAGUAACGAUAAAGCGGGUGAAAAGCCCGCUCGCCGGAAGACCAAGGGUUCCUGUCCAACGUUAAUCGGGGCAGGGUGAGUCGACCCCUAAGGCGAGGCCGAAAGGCGUAGUCGAUGGGAAACAGGUUAAUAUUCCUGUACUUGGUGUUACUGCGAAGGGGGGACGGAGAAGGCUAUGUUGGCCGGGCGACGGUUGUCCCGGUUUAAGCGUGUAGGCUGGUUUUCCAGGCAAAUCCGGAAAACUAAGGCUGAGGCGUGAUGACGAGGCACUACGGUGCUGAAGCAACAAAUGCCCUGCUUCCAGGAAAAGCCUCUAAGCAUCAGGUAACAUCAAAUCGUACCCCAAACCGACACAGGUGGUCAGGU